CAAACACACACAUUCUUUUUUAAUAUCCUUUUCCAUUAUGGUUUAUGAUAGGAUAUUGAAUAUAAUUUCCUGUGCCUUACAGUAGGACCUGUUGUUUAUCCAUUCUAUAUGUAAUCGCCUACACCUGCUAACCCCAAUCUCCCAGUUCAUCCCUUCCCCAACUCCCUCCCCCUUGGCAACCAGAAGUCUGUUCUCUAUGCCUGUGAGUCUGUUUCUGUUUUGUAAAUAGAUUUAUUUGUGUCAUAUUUUAGAUCCCACACAUAAGUGAUAUCAUACGGGAUGUGUCUUUCUCUUUCUGACUAACUUCAUUUAGUGUGAUCAUCUCUAGUUGCAUUUGGAAUGGCUGUUUGAAGACUCAGUUACAGCCCUGGCUAUGGCAAUACUUUUCAGGGCUAGGUCCAGGUUCUCCAAAGACUGUGUCAGUCUUCCCUGAAUUAGUGUCCAGUAUAUGAUGCUAUCUCUCUGACAGCUCAGACUCACAGGCCUAGGGGUCAAGGGGUAGAAAUGGAAGUGGCCCCACUCACUGCUACCCUUAGUGACCUGCUAGCAAUGCUUUUGCUUUCAAUUCCUGUGACUUUGCCCUGCUGGCUUAGAGGUCUUGGUUUCAGCAGGAGGAAUGCUUACGUCAGGAGAGACAGCAAUGGCUCCACUGAACUGAAAGUGAAGACUGCCACCUGAUCUCUGCAUUCCUCGUUACUCUGAAUCAACUGGCGAGGCAGAAAGUUACUGUACGGAUUGAUCCUAACAGCCCAGAGGAAAUCGGACUACUACUCCAUGACGGAGGUUCCAGCAUCCUCCUGUCAACUGUCGUGAUUUUGGUGCUCUCACAGGAGAAGAUACCAUUGCAUGUCCUUCUAUUCCCAGGUUCUGCCAAUGAGAAGUGCUGGUGGGAGACUGGAAGAUGGUAAAGAAGGCAGCCCCUCUCAUCUUCGGCUCCUGUGGCUCUCCUCAAGGGCUCCCUACAGACUCUCUUAGAGAUCUCAGCACCAGACAUGCAAGUCUCUCAAUCCAGCACCAGCCUGUGGUGGCCCAUCCAUUUCGUCUGAAACACCUCCUGCAUUUCAAACAAAAGUUUCUAUUUCCUAGAUCUUAGCUGAUAGGAUACGUGCUACCAAGAUCAGGAGUUAUUUUCGACCUCCUGGAACAUAUUCAACUUUCUAAUGCAUCUGAGGUACCUGCCCUUCCUGUUCCUCGGUCUAUGCAGGAAGAUGUCAUGAACGUAAUGAUCAGGGUGAUGUUCUGGGGAACGUCAGGAAGAUUCAGCUCUCUGCUGGCACAGUGACGGCAGUGGGAAGGAGAGGUGACAUAAGCCUGAGGCUAGACAACUGAAGAUCUAUUGCUGCCACACCUCCUUCCUGCCUGGGUCCUGAUGAUACAGCAGCCCUUUUUAGGAUAUGCAUUUGAGGAUGAACUAUGCUGAGGCUGCCAAAAAAACAGGAUAUUUUGGGGGAAAAUCUUAAAAUCUCUAGAUUCAGAGAAAGGAAUGAUUUUUCUUUUUUCCUAUUUUUUUGGUAGCACCACGUGACAGAAAAUUGUUUUAAAAUAAACCUGGAUAGACAAACUGUGGCAUAUUCAUCCAAUAUGUAUUGAAUGACAUAGUAGUUUAUGAAGCAAAGAAAAAUAGUGAACUCUAGCUGCAGAGAACCAGAGAUGAACUCCUAGGACAUAACACUGAGCAAAAGAAACCAGACACAAAAGAAUUCACUGUAUGAAGCAAUUUUUACAACAUUCAAGAACAAGGAAAACUAUUCCAAGGUGAUAGCAGUCAGAAUAAUGGUUAGCUUUUGAAGAGAGAUUAAUACGGGUGGAGACACAUAGAAGCGUUCUGAGCUGCUGGAAAUUUCUACGUCUUAAUUAGGAUGGUUGUUACAUGGAUGUGUACUGAGAAUUUACAUCCAGUAAGAAUUUGCUGAGCUGUACACUUAUGAGUUGCACAUUCUACAUGUGUAUCUCUCAAUAAAAAAGCAAUACAAAACUCUCAGUACAGAUAAGACAUUAAAAGUAUUUAUAAAAUAAACAGAUGUGUAACUUGAGCUACUGCAUGGUAAACAGAAGGGGAAAAGGUGGAAGUAGUGACAGAUUUCCUCUUCUUGGGCUCCAAAAUCACAGCUGACAGUGACUGCAGCUAUGAAACCAGAAGACGAUUGCUUCUUGGCAGGAAAGCAAUGACAAACCUAGACAGGGUGUUGAAAAGCAGAGAUAUUACUCUGCCAACAAAGGUCUGUAUAGUCAAGGCUAUGGUCUUCCCAGUGGUCACAUACAGUUGUGAGAGCUGGACCAUAAAAAAGGCAGAGUGCCGAAGAAUUGAUGCCUUUGAACUGUGGUGCUGGAGAAGACUUCUGAAAAUCCCUCGGAUGGCAAGGAGAUCAAACCAGUCGAUCUUAAGGGAGAUCAACCCUGAAUACUCACUGGAAGGACUGAUGCUGAAGCUCCAGUAUUUUGGUCAUCUGAUGUGAACAGAUGACUCAUUGGAAAAGUCCCUAAUGCUGGGAAAGAUUGAGGGCAGGAAGAAAAGAGGGCGUCAGAGGAGGGAUGGCUCCACCACAUCACCAAUGCAAUGAACGUGAACUUGGGCAAACUCUGGGAGAUGGUGAGGGACAGGGAGGCCUGGCAUGCUGCAGUCCAACGGGUCACAGGGGACUGAACAACAAGAACAACUUGAGCUUUCCAACCUAGUUUCAUUUAUUUCAUCAAUAAUAUUAGUAGAAGUUUAGGAAGUCUUUGAUGAACUGUAUCAAAGUGAAAGUGAAAGAAAGUGAAGUCGCUCAGUCAUGUCCAACUCUUUCAGACUCCAUGGACUAUAGCCUACCAGGCUCCUCUCUCCAUGGGAUUCUUCGGGCAGGAACACUGGAGUGGGUUGCCAUUUCCUUCUCCAGGGUAUCUUCCCAACCCAGGGAUCAAACCCAGGUCUCCUGCAUUGCAGGCAGAUGCUUUAACCUCUGAGCCACCAGGGAAGCCCUGUACCAAAGUGACACAUUAAAGUUUAAAAGCUUA
ensembl:lncRNA